rnacentral:tRNA from 1 species
GUCUCCAUGGUCUAGUUGGUGUUAUGACGGCGGUCUCAUAUCUUCAUAUGACAGCUCUAAAACAGCUGGAUAUCCGCAGGUCACGAGUUCGAUCCUCGUUGGAGGCA